GACGAACGCUGGCGGCGUGCUUAACACAUGCAAGUCGAACGGAAAGGCCCUGCUUGCAGGGUGCUCGAGUGGCGAACGGGUGAGUAACACGUGGGUGAUCUGCCCCUUACUUUGGGAUAAGCCUGGGAAACUGGGUCUAAUACUGGAUAGGACCAUGCUGAAGGUGGUGUGGUGGAAAGAUUUUUUCGGUAAGGGAUGAGCUCGCGGCCUAUCAGCUUGUUGGCGGGGUAAUGGCCUACCAAGGCGUCGACGGGUAGCCGGCCUGAGAGGGUGGACGGGCACAGUGGGACUGUGAUACGGCCCAGAGUCCUACGGGAGGCAGCAGUGGGGAAUAUUGCACAAUGGGGGCAAGCCUGAUGAAGCGACGCCGCGUGGGGGAUGACGGCCUUCGGGUUGUAAACUCCUUUCAGCCAUGACGAAGCCUCUUUUGGGGUGACGGUAGUGGUAGAAGAAGCACCGGCUAACUACGUG
rnacentral:rRNA from 1 species